GCGGCUUCAAAGGCCUCAGAGAGGCUAGCCCUUGCAGCUAUUGAAGCUCGGGAUGGGAGCUCACAAAAUGGGGUGACUCUCUCUCUAGACCAAUACUUUGAGAUGAGCAAGAGAGCCCACGAAGCAGAGGAACAAGCGAGAGCAAGUGCGAGUGCAAGGGUGGCUGCCACUGCAAAAGAGUCAGAGUUGAGGAGCUUAGAGAGAGAAAAUGAAUACAGAGAGAGGAUUGUGGAGAAAGCUAGAGAGAGAACGCGAGAGAGAGAGUUCAGAGAAUGCUAUAGAAACAUAUGAAGGAGCAGAGACCAUCGAAAUUGGGCCACUAAAAAACAGAGAAUGCUAGAGAAGCAAAAUGCUAGAGAGAAGAAGAAGCAAAGGCUACCUUAACACACCAAGAUGUGACUUCGAAGACAACUAGAGAGAGAAAUACAGAGAGGUUGGAGACGAUUGCAUAGAGGUUGGAGAAAGAACAAUGUGGAAUCGAUUGAAAGAAAUACAAAGAGAGAACAAUGUAGAAUCGAUUGAAAGAACAAUGUAGAGAGAGAGGAAGCACUUACAGAUUAAAUCUUUGUUUAGAGUAAGAAGAUGAAAUGCUCUGACAUUAUGUAAAAUUUCUAAAACCCUAGAGAGAGAAAGUGAACCCUCAUUCGUUCAUUCAAAG
rnacentral:lncRNA from 1 species